GAUGAACGCUGGCGGCGUGCCUAAUACAUGCAAGUCGAGCGAACAGACGAGGAGCUUGCUCCUUUGACGUUAGCGGCGGACGGGUGAGUAACACGUGGAUAACCUACCUAUAAGACUGGGAUAACUUCGGGAAACCGGAGCUAAUACCGGAUAACAUGUUGAACCGCAUGGUUCAACAGUGAAAGACGGUCUUGCUGUCACUCAUAGAUGGAUCCGCGCCGCAUUAGCUAGUUGGUAAGGUAACGGCUUACCAAGGCAACGAUGCGUAGCCGACCUGAGAGGGUGAUCGGCCACACUGGAACUGAGACACGGUCCAGACUCCUACGGGAGGCAGCAGUAGGGAAUCUUCCGCAAUGGGCGAAAGCCUGACGGAGCAACGCCGCGUGAGUGAAGAAGGUCUUCGGAUCGUAAAACUCUGUUAUUAGGGAAGAACAAAUGUGUAAGUAACUAUGCACGUCUUGACGGUACCUAAUCAGAAAGCCACGGCUAACUACGUG
rnacentral:rRNA from 1 species